rnacentral:rRNA from 1 species
AGUCGAGCGCGAUUGUUUGGACCGGCGGCUUCGGCCAAAGGGAAGAACAUGAAAGCGGCGGACGGGUGAGUAACGCGUGAGCAACCUGCCUUGUACAGGGGGAUAGCCACUGGAAACGGUGAUUAAUACCCCAUGAAUCCAAAGAACCGCAUGGUUCAAUGGACAAAGCCUUGGCGGUACAGGAUGGGCUCGCGUCUGAUUAGCUAGUUGGUGAGGUAACGGCCCACCAAGGCGACGAUCAGUAGCCGACCUGAGAGGGUGAACGGCCACACUGGAACUGAGACACGGUCCAGACUCCUACGGGAGGCAGCAGUGGGGAAUAUUGCACAAUGGGCGCAAGCCUGAUGCAGCAACGCCGCGUGAGUGAUGAAGGCCUUCGGGUCGUAAAACUCUGUCCUAAGGGAAGAAGAAAGUGACGGUACCUUAGGAGGAAGCCCCGGCUAACUACGUGCCAGCAGCCGCGGUAAUACGUAGGGGGCAAGCGUUAUCCGGAAUCACUGGGCGUAAAGGGUGCGUAGGCGGCUUAUCAAGCCAGGGGUGAAAGGCAUUGGCUAAACCAAUGUAAGCCUUUGGAACUGAUUCCCUUGAGUGCAGGAGAGGAAAGCGGAAUUCCUAGUGUAGCGGUGAAAUGCGUAAAUAUUAGGAGGAACACCCGUGGCGAAAGCGGCUUUCUGGACUGUAACUGACGCUGAGGCACCGAAAGCGUGGGGAGCGAACAGGAUUUAGAUACCCCUGGUAGUC